rnacentral:rRNA from 1 species
UACGGAGGGUGCAAGCGUUGCUCGGAAUUACUGGGCGUAAAGGGGAGGUAGGUGGUCUUGCGCGUCGAUGGUGAAAUCCCUGGGCUUAACUCAGGACGUGCCACCGAUACGGCAAGACUAGAGUCCUGGAGAGGGUCGUGGAAUUCCCGGUGUAGCGGUGAAAUGCGUAGAGAUCGGGAGGAACACCAGAGGCGAAGGCGGCGACCUGGACAGGAACUGACACUCAACUCCGAAAGCGUGGGGAGCAAACAGG